rnacentral:rRNA from 1 species
GCCAGCCCGCUCAGAAACUCAAAGGAAUUGACGGGGCCGCACAAGCGAGGAGCAUGUGGUUUAAUUCGAUGAUACGCGAGGAACCUUACCUGGGCUCGAACGUAAGAUGACUGUAGGUGAAAGCUUACAUCUCUUCGGAGCAUUUUACGAGGUGCUGCAUGGUUGUCGUCAGCUCGUGCCGUGAGGUGUCGGGUUAAGUCCCAUAACGAGCGCAACCCCUACCUUUAGUUGCCAUCAGGUUAAGCUGGGGACUCUAAAGGAACUGCCUACGCAAGUAGUGAGGAAGGCGGGGAUGACGUCAAAUCAGCACGGCCCUUACGUCCAGGGCUACACACGUGCUACAAUGGCCGAUACAGAGGGCAGCUACCUGGUGACAGGAUGCAAAUCUCCAAAGUCGGUCUCAGUUCGGAUCGGAGUCUGCAACCCGACUCCGUGAAGUUGGAUUCGCUAGUAAUCGCGCAUCAGCCAUGGCGCGGUGAAUACGUUCCCGGGCCUU